AGUAGCCGCGGGAACACGAAGGGUGCAAGCGUUAAUCGGAAUUACUGGGCGUAAAGCGCGCGUAGGUGGUUUGGUAAGAUGGAUGUGAAAUCCCCGGGCUCAACCUGGGAACUGCAUCCAUAACUGCCUGACUAGAGUACGGUAGAGGGUGGUGGAAUUUCCUGUGUAGCGGUGAAAUGCGUAGAUAUAGGAAGGAACACCAGUGGCGAAGGCGACCACCUGGACUGAUACUGACACUGAGGUGCGAAAGCGUGGGGAGCAAACAGGAUUAGAUACCCCUGUAGUCCCUGUCUCUUAUACA
rnacentral:rRNA from 1 species